UUAUUUGACAAAGGGGGGAGAUUGUAGUGGGUAGCCAUUCCAACCUUGAUCUGGAAGUUCCAACCCCCAUUGAGGCUUCAGUAACUGUCACGCCUCCAAGGCGGGGCCAAGAGAGGACCCUCAAGACCAGAGAUCCAGAUACGCCAUCUCUCUUGGUUCCUGGACCCUGGACGCUGGAGGUAGACUGAGCAGAGUUCCCCAGAGAACACCGCCAGACUGUGCCACGUCUUUCCCAGACCCUGC